rnacentral:tRNA from 1 species
UGGGGUGUGGCUCAGUGGCAGAGCGCUCACCUAGCAAGUGCGAGGCCCUGGGUUCGAGCCUUAGCACCACAU